UAGGGAAUCUUCGGCAAUGGACGAAAGUCUGACCGAGCAACGCCGCGUGAGUGAAGAAGGUUUUCGGAUCGUAAAACUUUGUUGUGUUAGAAAAGAACAAGGACGUUANUAAUUGAGCGNCCCGUGACGGUAUCUAAAGCGANGCUAGGACAUGCCAGGNCCGCGGGAAUACGUAAGUGGCAAGCGNUGGCCGGAUUUAUUGGGCGUAAAGCGAGCGCANGGGGUUCCUCAGGCGGUUUCUUAAGUCUGAUGUGAAAGCCCCCGGCUCAACCGGGGAGGGCCAUUGGAAACUGGGAGACUUGAGUGCAGAAGAGGAGAGUGGAAUUCCAUGUGUAGCGGUGAAAUGCGUAGAUAUAUGGGGGGANNNCNUGGGGNANGGGGGCUCUCUGGUCUGUAACUGACGCUGAGGCUCGAAAGCGUGGGGAGCAAACAGGAUUAGAUACCCUGGUAGUCCACGCCGUAAACGAUGAGUGCUAAGUGUUGGAGGGUUUCCGCCCUUCAGUGCUGCAGCAAACGCAUUAAGCACUCCGCCUGGGGAGUACGACCGCAAGGUUG
rnacentral:rRNA from 1 species